GUGUUGUUUGUGAAGGGCACACGGUGGAUGCCUGGGCAUUAUGAGCCGAUGAAGGACGUGUAAGGCCGCGAUAGGCCUCGGGGAGUUGCCAAUAGAGCGUUGAUCCGAGGGUGUCCGAAUGGGGAAACCUGGCCAUGGUUAUGUGUGGUUACCCAUCAGUGAAUGUAUAGCUGGUGUGGGGGUGACGCGGGGAAGUGAAACAUCUUAGUACCCGUAGGAGAAGAAAAUAAUUAAUGAUUCUGCUAGUAGUGGCGAACGAACGUGGAUGAGGCUAAACCGUAUGCGUGUGAUACCUGGCAGGGGUUGCGUGUGUGGUGUUGUGGGGCGUUGUUGGAGGAGGCUGCCGGCUCCUCGCUUGUGUAUGUGUGUGUUAGCGGAAGUGGUUUGGAAUGGCCUGCCGUAGUGGGUGAGAGUCCCGUACGUGAAAGUGCAUGCAUGUGAGUGGAUGAUGUUCCCGAGUAGCAGCGGGCUCGUGGAAUCUGCUGUGAAUCUGCCGGGACCACCCGGUAAGCCUAAAUACUUAUGAUGACCGAUAGCGGAUUAGUACCGUGAGGGAAUGGUGAAAAGUACCCCGGGAGGGGAGUGAAAUAGUACCUGAAACCGUGUGCUUACAAUCCGUCAGAGCCUCUUUUUGUGGGGUGAUGGCGUGCCUUUUGAAGAAUGAGCCUGCGAGUCAGCGGCAUGUCGCGAGGUUAACCCGUGUGGGGUAGUCGUAGCGAAAGCGAAUCCUAAUGAGGGUGUUGUCAGUGGCAUGUUCUGGACCCGAAGCGGGGUGAUCUACCCAUGGCCAGUGUGAAGCAGCUGUAAGAGGUUGUGGAGGCGCGAACCCACUUAGGUUGA
rnacentral:rRNA from 1 species